CCUACGGUGGACAGCAGUGAGGAAUAUUGGUCAAUGGGCGGAAGCCUGAACCAGCCAAGUAGCGUGCAGGAUGACGGCCCUACGGGUUGUAAACUGCUUUUAUACGGGAAUAACGCGCCUUACGUGUAGGGCUUUGCAUGUACCGUAUGAAUAAGGACCGGCUAAUUCCGUGCCAGCAGCCGCGGUAAUACGGAAGGUCCGGGCGUUAUCCGGAGUUAUUGGGUUUAAAGGGAGCGUAGGCCGCAUGUCAAGCUUGCUGUGAAAUUUCCGGGCUCAACCCGGGCCUUGCAGCGCGAACUGGCGUGCUUGAGUCCGCGGAAGGCAGGCGGAAUUCGUCGUGUAGCGGUGAAAUGUUUAGAUAUGACGAAGAACCCCGAUUGCGAAGGCAGCUUGCUGCAGCGGAACUGACGCUGAGGCUCGAAAGCGCGGGUAUCGAACAGGAUUAGAUACCCCAGUAGUC
rnacentral:rRNA from 1 species